UGGGGGGUCGUCCAACGGUAGGACAUCGGACUUUGGAUCCGGGAAUCCGGGUUCGAAUCCCGGCCCCCCAGCCA
rnacentral:tRNA from 1 species